CCUACGGGAGGCAGCAGUGGGGAAUAUUGCACAAUGGGGGAAACCCUGAUGCAGCGACGCCGCGUGAGUGAAGAAGUAUCUCGGUACGUAAAGCUCUAUCAGCAGGAAAGAAAAUGACGGUACCUGACUAAGAAGCCCCGGCUACUUACGUGCCAGCAGCCGCGGCAAUACGUAGGGGGCAAGCGUUAUCCGGAUUUACUGGGUGUAAAGGGAGCGUAGACGGCGAUGCAAGUCCGAGGUGAAAGCCCAUGGCUUAACCAUGGUACUGCACUGGAAACUGUAGAGCUUGAGUGCGGGAGAGGCAGGCGGAAGUCCUGGUGUAGCGGUGAAAUGCGUAGAUAUUAGGAGGAACACCGGCGGCGAAGGCGGCCUGCUGGACCGUAACUGACGUUGAGGCUCGAAAGCGUGGGGAGCAAACAGGAUUAGAUACCCGGGUAGUC
rnacentral:rRNA from 1 species